rfam:Danio rerio unplaced genomic contig NA5, GRCz11 reference primary assembly.
GCCGAAAUUGCUCAGUUGGUAGAGUGUUAAACUGAAGUUCUAAAGGUCCCUGGUUCGAUCCUGGGUUUCGGCA